rnacentral:lncRNA from 1 species
AGAGGUGAUGCAAGCAGUGAAUGAGAAAUCAGGAAAAUUUCCAUUAAACUCUGCCUAAGUCCUUUAGGGCUCUGUCUCUGUUUUGUUCCUCUUAAGGUUGUCACUUCUAUGCCUAAUGAUUAUCUCAUUGGUUCCAGGACAUUGUUACCAUUUACCUCCACUGGAUAUCUAUUUUCUUUCAAAAAGCACAAUCAACGUGCCUUUUCCCUGAUUUUCUCUGCCAAACAUAUCAGAUUGUGGGAGGUUUAUGGAUACACAGUACUUCACAGGCAACCUGAAAGGUCCCAAUUUGGGCCCCGAGUCUGCUGGAGAAAAGAGAAAGGCUAAGAAGCAGCCUACCUUACCUGUGGCUCUGGGUCUGAGGAUGGCCAGGAGAACAGAGAGCAAAGCAGAGCCAAUGCAAGACCUCUGGCCCUGGAAGCCGAAGGGUCUCUCACAGGUCAACGCAGGAUCUACUCCAUCAUCAUCUUCACUAGCACACCCAGUUCGAUUGAGGAGCCUUGACGUGGGAUAUUGAUGGGAUAUUGAGAGAAAAGAGAAAUGGUGAAUCAAGCACUAAUCUCAAAGCUUCUGCACAGAACUACUUACAUGUCACUUCCUCCCAUGACUAUUCCUAAAUUCAGCCAAAAGGGGACACAUAAUCUCUUACGGGGGAGGGCACCACGGGGAGAGAAACCCGAAUAUUUGGUGAAUAGUAACACAAUCUACUUUGUUAUAGAAUCUGUCCUCAAUGGUCUUACAGUCUAAGAGCAUUACAUUUAGUUACGGUAGUCUUAAAUAUGAUACUAAAUGAAUUGAAUAGCCAGACAUCUGUGAAAGUAAAACUGUGAUAAUACAAAGUCAGUGUGCUUUUAAGUUUCAAUUGCUUAAAGUUAUUUGGAAGUAAGGAUCACAUGAGUUCAGAGCCCCAGGAUUCAAAAAUAACUCCGGAAUCUUUUAUCACUCCCCAAAGGAAAAGCAAUAAUAAGUAAGUUACCAGACAUUCAUGUAAUCUCUCUGAAACUGUAAGACUAACAAAGGAAAAUUUUCAAAAGGCAGAAAUACUUUAUUAUUUAUUUGCAAUAGAAAUUAUUCAGCCGGGCGCGGUGGCUCAUGCCUGUAAUCCCAGCACUUUGGGAGGCCGAGGCGAGUGGAUCACCUGAGGUCGGGAGUUCGAGACCAGCCUGACCAACAUGGAGAAACCCCGUCUCUACUAAAAAUACACAAUUAGCUGGGCAUGGUGGCACAUGCCUGCAAGCCCAGCUACUCAGGAGGCUAAGGCAGGAGCGACAGAGCGAGACUCCAUCUCAAAAAAAAAAGAAAGAAAGAAAGGAAAAAAAGAAAAGAAAAGAAACAAAGAAA